GCUUAUACUCGACCGUCAGCGGCACGUGCGAUCGAAUCUCGCGUUCGAUCACUAAGCCCUGACGAGUAGGAGGGUCGCGGCGGUGAGCGCAGAAGGGCUGGCCGCGAGGCCGUCUGGAGCCGCCGUCGGUGCAGAUCUUGGUGGUAGUAGCAAAUACUCCAGCGAGGCCCUGGAGGACUGACGUGGAGAAGGGUUUCGUGUGAACAGCCGUUGCACACGAGUCAGUCGAUCCUAAGCCCUAGGCGAAAGCCGAUGUCGAUGCGGUGUAGAUUUAGUAAGUAGUAGAGCAGCACAGCAGCAGCAGCGGUAGCAGUAGAAGACGCGUUAUUAAAAUGCGUUUUUUUUUUGCAACAGCAGCGGCAGCGGCUACAAAACAUACAUACAUACACACACACCCGUCGGGCGAAAGGGAAUCCGGUUCCUAUUCCGGAACCUGGCAGCGGAACCGUUAAUAAGUCGGGC
rnacentral:rRNA from 1 species